rnacentral:rRNA from 1 species
UACUGACAUUGAGGUGCGAAAGCGUGGGUAGCGAACAGGAUUAGAUACCCUGGUAGUCCACGCCGUAAACGAUGACAACUAGCUGUUGGGAGACAAGAUCUCUCAGUGGCGCAGCUAACGCUUUAAGUUGUCCGCCUGGGGAGUACGGCCGCAAGGUUAAAACUCAAAUGAAUUGACGGGGACCCGCACAAGCGGUGGAGCAUGUGGUUUAAUUCGAUGCAACGCGAAAAACCUUACCUACUCUUGACAUACUUGGAAGCUCUUGUAAUGAGAGUGUGCUUUUAGAGCCAAGAUACAGGUGCUGCAUGGCUGUCGUCAGCUCGUGUCGUGAGAUGUUGGGUUAAGUCCCAUAACGAGCGCAACCCUUACCCUUAUUUGCCAGCGGUUCGGCCGGGAACUAUAAGGGGACUGCCGGUGACAAACCGGAGGAAGGUGAGGACGACGUCAAGUCAUCAUGGCCCUUACNAGUAGGGCUACACACGUGCUACAAUGGGGAAUACAGACGGNCGCUAAAGCGUGAGCUGGUGCUAAUCCUAAAAAAUUUCUCGUAGUCCGGAUUGCAGUCUGCAACUCGGCUGCAUGAAGUCGGAAUCGCUAGUAAUCGCGAAUCAGCAUGUCGCGGUGAAUACGUUCUCNGGUCUUGUACACACCGCCCGUCACACCAUGGAAGUGUGUUGCACCAGAAGUAGGUAGUCUAACCUUCGGGAAGGCGCUUACCACGGUGNGAUCCAUGACUGGGGUGAAGUCGUAACAAGGUA